GCUCUUAAAAGAGAUUGUCGAGUAGAAGGUGGAACAGCGGCUAAAUGAGAUGUAGUUGAGUCACUGUGGUUGAUAUUUUUGCGUGUUUUGCGGCCCUAAUUGGAAAUACGAGAGGGGCAAGAGUUUAAGAUUUUGUUUGAAAUAUAAUAAGCAUUUGAAUAGUUCAACCUUUUGAAAUUCGAUUCCUGAAAUGAAAUUUAAGUAUCAAAGCAAACAUAAACCGCGUAAAACAAUUAAAAGUAUUGCAAGACAACUGGUUGCUGCACUGGUUAAGUCAAUAUUUUAUCUGGGCACACCCACACUGUGUCCUGCACAGCAGCUGGCCCUGGUCGGCGACUUUCAUCCACAUUACAGUAUAUCCUAUUGGUCGCAUUGUGGUUUGUGUUCGUGUCGUUAUG